AAAGCCUUGGUUCCUGGAAGAUGGGCAAAGCUUGCGACUCGUCACUUGCUCCCUGUUCACCGCACGUUUUAGCAUGGUGGUCUGGGCUCCACGCCCACGUGCAGGCCUUCUGAUGGACACCGCUGAGGCUACCGUUGCCUUGGCCCUGCUCUGCUCUUGAUCUGCCCCCUUCACGUGCUGCUCAUAUGGGAGCAUAAGCCUGGGAAAGGUGGCAGCGCUGGUGCUGCCUGGGCUACCACCCAGCUCAUUAUACACCGUCUUCCACAAUCGCUGCGACGUCACCUUUAGACAAGACACAGGUCAAGUGAGCCGUCCAUAGCAGCAUCAAUUACCUCAUUUAUAUCAGUUUCUAAUAUAGUGACCCUGCCCAGUCUUAAAAAAUAAAACAGAAAUAUCUGA